rnacentral:misc_RNA from 1 species
GAUGAAGAACGUAGCGAAAUGCGAUAAGUAGUGUGAAUUGCAGAAUUCCGUGAAUCAUCGAAUCUUUGAACGCACAUUGCGCCUUUUGGUAUUCCGAAAGGCACACCUGUUUGAGCGUCAUGAAUACCUCAAUCUCCAUCUUUUCUUCGGAUUGAUGGGUGACUUGGAUGUUGAGCCCUGCUGGUAUGCUAUAUCAGCUGGCUUUAAACUUAUUAGCCGGCUCUGUACUGGAUCGGUUUGACUCGACGUGAUAAUAUUAUCGUUGAGGAUGCAUGUCUCAUGCAGCCGGAAAGUAUCAAAGCAGCUUCUAGCUUGCCUUUAGUGCACUUUUACAUUUUAGACCUCAGAUCAGGUGGGACUACCCGCUGAACUUAAGCAUAUCAAUAAGCGGAGGA